UGUGUUCCAGACUUGGAAACUCCGCUCGCCUA
rnacentral:piRNA from 1 species